UCGAGGCCAUUUGUUUUCUUGAUAAGGUGGGAAAGAGAAGGCAGCACGGCUAUCGUUCAAGUUAUCCAACGUAGCUGUGUAGUCACGAAAGUACACGAAGGGUUUCGGGAAAUGACGUACUUCCGGGUGCGUCCGAGAUACACUUUCCCUUAUCUGAGGCUUCAAAGACUCGAUCAUUUCGUCCGUAAUCGUUUAAGGAAUUGGAAGUGUCCGCGUUUGUUACUUAGUUUUCGUGUGCCAAUAUAGGCUAAUCGGUGUGCGUUAGAAAUUGUGUGCGAUUUGGAGUUCUUAGUUAGCUCAGAACCGAGUUUUUCCAAUCCGCAGUUCUUCGCAUCCAAGCGCAACCACUUCUUCCCCCGACGGACGAGAAAUACCCGGCAUCCGUCAUACGGCUGGAAGCGGACGGAUCCGUUACCAUAUCGGUCCGAGAAGGCCCGGGGACCUUCAGGUGGACGAGGUCUUCCACCAGCUAGUUCGCCAAUUGACUAGCGGGCGCUGUCAAUAGCCCAGGAAGCGCUUUAGUGAAGCGUAAGUCAACCGCCAUUGCGAAGACGAGCCGAUCAACGAACGCCGCCAUCAAUCAACCAAACCGGCGCGGUGGUGAGAGCAACGACCCGGCCUACAGGUCAUCGACUACCAAGUAGUAAGCUGUACCGAUCGGUGAGUCAACCAAUUUCUUUUUUUUUGCGGAGUGCGGCGUCCGCUGAGGGCGCCGCGGAGGUUUUUUUUGUACCAGUCAAAGACUGAAGAAGUGCUGCUAAAGCCAACCAACAUCUUUUUCGGAGAUCGGAAUUCCUUCCGACAACGUCUUGGGAGCCUCCGGUUCCGUGAAAAUGCGUGCGUGAGCCGUCUUGCCACCACUGCAGAAAAAGUCGAACACCCGGAGCGCAGACAUCGACGCAGUCGAGCUUCGAUUCCAUGUGACGUCACGAAUGAGAGCACUGAGCACAGUUAGAUAGAGAAGGAGGAGCUAGGGAAUCGCACACCAGCUAGGAAGUGUAGAAGUAGAACGAACACAAACACACAGAAUGAUUUCAAACUCGAGUUGUAGCCAAUAAA